rnacentral:rRNA from 1 species
AACGAACGCUGGCGGCAGGCUUAACACAUGCAAGUCGAACGAGAUCUUCGGAUCUAGUGACAGACGGGUGAGGAACACGUGGGAACAACCCUUUCAGUUCGGAAUAACGUUGGGAAACUAACGCUAAUACCGGAUACGUCCUUCGGGAGAAAGAUUUAUCGCUGAAAGAUUGGCCCGCGUCUGAUUAGCUAGUUGGUGAGGUGAUGGCUCACCAAGGCUACGAUCAGUAGCUGAUCUGAGAGGAUGAUCAGCCACAUUGGGACUGAGACACGGCCCAAACUCCUACGGGAGGCAGCAGUGGGGAAUAUUGGACAAUGGGCGCAAGCCUGAUCCAGCCAUGCCGCGUGAGUGAUGACGGCCUUCGGGUUGUAAAGCUCUUUUGUCCGGGAAGAUAAUGACUGUACCGGAAGAAUAAGCCCCGGCAAACUUCGUGCCAGCAGCCGCAGUAA